rnacentral:rRNA from 1 species
GACAUACUAAGAACUUUCCAGAGAUGGAUUGGUGCCUUCGGGAACUUAGAUACAGGUGCUGCAUGGCUGUCGUCAGCUCGUGUCGUGAGAUGUUGGGUUAAGUCCCGNAACGAGCGCAACCCUUUUCCUAUUUGCCAGCGGGUCAUGCCGGGAACUUUAAGGAUACUGCCAGUGACAAACUGGAGGAAGGCGGGGACGACGUCAAGUCAUCAUGGCCCUUACGGCCAGGGCUACACACGUGCUACAAUGGUCGGUACAAAGGGUUGCUACCUCGCGAGAGGAUGCUAAUCUCAAAAAGCCGAUCGUAGUCCGGAUCGCAGUCUGCAACUCGACUGCGUGAAGUCGGAAUCGCUAGUAAUCGCGGAUCAGAAUGCCGCGGUCGAAUACGUUCCCGGGCCUUGUACACACCGCCCGUCACACCAUGGGAGUUUGUUGCACCAGAAGUAGGUAGUCUAACCGCAAGGAGGACGCUUACCACGGUGUGGCCGAUGACUGGGGUGAAGUCGUAACAAGGUAAGCGUAGAUGA